rnacentral:rRNA from 1 species
CUGGAGGUAUCAGAAGUGCGAAUGCUGACAUAAGUAACGAUAAAGCGGGUGAAAAGCCCGCUCGCCGGAAGACCAAGGGUUCCUGUCCAACGUUAAUCGGGGCAGGGUGAGUCGACCCCUAAGGCGAGGCCGAAAGGCGUAGUCGAUGGGAAACGGGUUAAUAUUCCCGUACUUGGUGUUACUGCGAAGGGGGGACGGAGAAGGCUAUGUUGGCCGGGCGACGGUUGUCCCGGUUUAAGCGUGUAGGUGUGUGUUCCAGGUAAAUCCGGUUCACUUUAACACUGAGGCGUGAUGACGAGGCACUACGGUGCUGAAGCAACAAAUGCCCUGCUUCCAGGAAAAGCCUCUAAGCAUCAGGUAACAUCAAAUCGUACCCCAAACCGACACAGGUGGUCAGGUAGAGAAUACCAAGGCGCUUGAGAGAACUCGGGUGAAGGAACUAGGCAAAAUGGUGCCGUAACUUCGGGAGAAGGCACGCUGACACGUAGGUGAAGUGA